AUUGAACGCUAGCGGCAUGCCUUACACAUGCAAGUCGAACGGUAACAGGUCUUCGGAUGCUGACGAGUGGCGAACGGGUGAGUAAUGCAUCGGAACGUGCCCAGUCGUGGGGGAUAACUGCUCGAAAGAGCAGCUAAUACCGCAUACGACCUGAGGGUGAAAGCGGGGGACCGUAAGGCCUCGCGCGAUUGGAGCGGCCGAUGUCCGAUUAGGUAGUUGGUGAGGUAAAGGCUCACCAAGCCGACGAUCUGUAGCUGGUCUGAGAGGACGACCAGCCACACUGGGACUGAGACACGGCCCAGACUCCUGCGGGAGGCAGCAGUGGGGAAUUUUGGACAAUGGACGCAAGUCUGAUCCAGCCAUGCCGCGUGCGGGAAGAAGGCCUUCGGGUUGUAAACCGCUUUUGUCAGGGAAGAAAAGGCUCCGGAUAAUACCUGGGGCUCAUGACGGUACCUGAAGAAUAAGCACCGGCUAACUACGUGCCAGCCGCCGCGGUAACAC
rnacentral:rRNA from 1 species